rnacentral:snRNA from 1 species
AUGCCCACCUUAGCAGCAUAUAUACUAAAAUUGGAAACACUACAGAGAUUAGCAAGGAUGACACGAAAUUUGUGAGGCAUUCCAUAUUUAA